rnacentral:tRNA from 1 species
GGGGGAUUAGUUUAGUGGUAAAACGAGGGUCUCCAAAACCCUAGUCGGGAGUUCAAUUCUCUCAUCCCCCG